rnacentral:lncRNA from 1 species
CCUUCUUCUUUGUUGCCAUGGACUUGCAAUUCUCCGAUAAAUUGCCCACAUUUUAAUUUUAGCCCCAGGAUCUGUUUAUGGAGGCACCAGACUAAGAAGGAGUGGGGCGUGGGAACCAAGUUGGCUGAAGACACCAUGGAAAGAAUCUACCAGCAGUGAGCAGAGUGGAAUCAAGAGAAAUCAAAGGAAGGUGAUUUUCCCAAUAAGGACCACACAAGGGAAAUUUGUUGAACCCACAAUAGCAGAACUAAAGACACCAGGAAAGGGGACGUCUGCACAGGUGCCAAGAAUGACCAGUCGGCCCUCUGAACCUGUGGGUUCACAUCCACGGGGUCAACCAACUCGAAGGACAGACGUGACGCUGCUGAGCACAGAGUGUGACUUUGUCUCCAUCAUAAUUCUCUGAGCAAGGCUGGACAGCAAUCCAGGGCACCAUAUGAAGUGGUGGCGGUAGCCGAAAUCGAG